rnacentral:rRNA from 1 species
UACGAAGGGGGCUAGCGUUGCUCGGAAUCACUGGGCGUAAAGCGCACGUAGGCGGAUUGCUAAGUCAGGGGUGAAAUCCUGGAGCUCAACUCCAGAACUGCCUUUGAUACUGGCGACCUUGAGUCCGGGAGAGGUGAGUGGAACUGCGAGUGUAGAGGUGAAAUUCGUAGAUAUUCGCAAGAACACCAGUGGCGAAGGCGGCUCACUGGCCCGGUACUGACGCUGAGGUACGAAAGCGUGGGGAGCAAACAGGG